rnacentral:rRNA from 1 species
UAAGGAAUAUUGGUCAAUGGACGCAAGUCUGAACCAGCCAUGCCGCGUGAAGGAUGCAGGUCCUCUGGAUUGUAAACUUCUUUUAUCUGGGACGAAAACGGGAUUUUUAUCUCAAUUGACGGUACCAGAGGAAUAAGCACCGGCUAACUCCGUGCCAGCAGCCGCGGUAAUACGGAGGGUGCGAGCGUUAUCCGGAUUUACUGGGUUUAAAGGGUGCGUAGGUGGGCUUAUAAGUCAGUGGUGAAAUCUCCGAGCUUAACUUGGAAACUGCCGUUGAUACUAUAGGUCUUGAAUUAUCUGGAGGUAAGCGGAAUAUGUCAUGUAGCGGUGAAAUGCUUAGAUAUGACAUAGAACACCUAUUUCGAAGGCAGCUUACUACAUAUAAAUUGACGCUGAGGCACGAAAGCGUGGGGAUCAAACA